UUUUUGAAAAGGUCCAAUAAACCAAAUUUUCAGUUUUUGCUUUUUGGGUGUUUUUUAAUACCCCUGACUCAAGGCGGUUUCAAAAACACCCAAAAAGCAAAAACUGAAAAAUUGGUUUAUUGGACCUUUCAAAA
rnacentral:pre_miRNA from 1 species